GGAAUUNCUGGGCGUAAAGCGGGCGCAGACGGUUACUUAAGCAGGAUGUGAAAUCCCCGGGCUCAACCUGGGAACUGCGUUNUGAACUGGGUGACUAGAGUGUGUCAGAGGGAGGUAGAAUUCCACGUGUAGCAGUGAAAUGCGUAGAGAUGUGGAGGAAUACCGAUGGCGAAGGCAGCCUCCUGGGAUAACACUGACGUUCAUGCCCGAAAGCGUGGGUAGCAAACAGGAUUAGAUACCCUGGUAGUNCACGCCCUAAACGAUGUCGAUUAGCUGUUGGGCAGCAUGACUGCUUAGUAGCGAAGCUAACGCGUGAAAUCGACCGCCUGGGGAGUACGGUCGCAAGAUUACAACUCAAAGGAAUUGACGGGGACCCGCACAAGCGGUGGAUGAUGUGGAUUAAUUCGAUGCAACGCGAAGAACCUUACCUGGUCUUGACAUGUACGGAACCCUCCAGAGACGGAGGGGUGCCUUCGGGAGCCGUAACACAGGUGCUGCAUGGCUGUCGUCAGCUCGUGUCGUGAGAUGUUGGGUUAAGUCCCGCAACGAGCGCAACCCUUGUCAUUAGUUGCCAUCAUUAAGUUGGGCACUCUAAUGAGACUGCCGGUGACAAGCCGGAGGAAGGUGGGGAUGACGUCAAGUCCUCAUGGCCCUUAUGACCAGGGCUUCACACGUCAUACAAUGGUCGGUACAGAGGGUAGCCAAGCCGCGAGGUGGAGCCAAUCUCACAAAACCGAUCGUAGUCCGGAUUGCACUCUGCAACUCGAGUGCAUGAAGUCGGAAUCGCUAGUAAUCGCAGGUCAGCAUACUGCGGUGAAUACGUUCCCGGGUCUUGUACACACCGCCCGUCACACCAUGGGAGUGGGGGAUACCAGAAGUAG
rnacentral:rRNA from 1 species